rnacentral:rRNA from 1 species
CAGUCGCCACGGUAAUACGUAGGUGGCAAGCGUUGUCCGGAAUUAUUGGGCGUAAAGGGCUCGCAGGCGGUUUCUUAAGUCUGAUGUGAAAGCCCCCGGCUCAACCGGGGAGGGUCAUUGGAAACUGGGAAACUUGAGUGCAGAAGAGGAGAGUGGAAUUCCACGUGUAGCGGUGAAAUGCGUAGAGAUGUGGAGGAACACCAGUGGCGAAGGCGACUCUCUGGUCUGUAACUGACGCUGGGGAGCGAAAGCGUGGGGAGCGAACAGGAUUAGAUACCCGCGUAGUCCCUGUCUCUUAUAC